CUCGACGCUGCAACAAGCGAAGCUUGCCUACCUGAUCUACUUUUCACAAAUGCUGUGAACUUGACAAGAAACCAAGAAAUUAAAUUAAAUUAGCCAAUAAUUGCUCAACAAACAAGAUCAAUCAGAAUUUAAUUAUUUGAUGUUAAUGACACAGCUAAUUAAUUAAUCAAGAUAUAUGUAUUUAUUUAAGAAACAAGAGACAUCUCUAGUAGGAGAGUUUCAAGUGUGAGCUAAAAUUGGAGCCAUGUAUGCAAACCUUUUUUUUUUUUUUGUGAGAGAGAUGUGGAUGAUGUAUGUAGGAGAGGAGGGAAGCAUGCAAGAACUCAAACCAACACCAUGAGGGGAAAAAAGAGAAAGAGAAAGAUAGAGAUGUAGGAGAAGCAUCAUCAAGCACAUAAAAAAAUUAAGAAGAAAAGCAAACCAAAGGUAUCCAUCAAUCCAUCUUCAUCAGCUGAUUGAACAACCAAAUAGUGCACAUGCAAGAGCAAAACACAUAAUAUAUGCACACACACACAAGCUAGCACAAAGUCACAAAAUACACCAUUGGGAUUGCUGAUUAAUUACCUUAAGGGUUGAGCUGCAACAUGUGCUAAGUACUGUAUAUUAGAAAAAGAAUGAGUAUCUUCUCCUCCCCUCUUACUCCUCCUCUAUUUUUUUUCUCUUUAGCUAGCAAGAAUUAACAAGAGAAGUGAGAAGGAAAGAUGGAGGUCAAGAGGAUGGUGAGAAAUGGAAGCUAGCUAGGUAUCAAGAGCUAGCAUGGGAUAUUUGAUC
rnacentral:lncRNA from 1 species